AAUCAACGCUGGCGGCGCGCCUAACACAUGCAAGUCGAACGGGAAACGGGGGCAACUCCGUGAGUAUAGUGGCGUACGGGUGAGUAACACGUGACUACCUACCUUUGAGUGGGGGAUAACCCCGGGAACCUGGGCUAAUACCGCCAUAACAUCGCAAGAUCAAAGAAGCAAUUCGCUUAAAGAGGGGUCGGCGGCUGAUUAGCUAGUUGGUAGGGUAAUAGGCCUACCAAGGCGAUGAUCGGUAGCCGGCCUGAGAGGGCGCACGGCCACACUGGAACU
rnacentral:rRNA from 1 species